rnacentral:sRNA from 1 species
CAGCAGCCCUGAUCGAAACGGCAUCCUUUUUCUUUUUCCUUAAAAAGAAAAAGAUAUAGUGCAGAGCAGGAAACCAU